AACGCAGGGGUGGGGGCGCUGCUUCUCCUGGGAGAAGGCAAGUACCAGGCAGACACGGAACACGUCCACCACAGGGAACUUACGGCUCUCCACCCACUCUUGGCUCCUGUCUCCCAGCCUCCCAAACACAUUCCCACCAGGAACAGCCCUCCAGCUCCUACACCAGGAACAAAGGAGGUGGGAGGUUAGUGUGGGGAGAGAGGAAGCAGCCUGUGCAUGUCCAGAGGGGAAAGAGAUCAGCUCCACUGGGCUACAUCACUUCUUCCUGGGCCUGUGUUCUGGCUACACUGAAUCACUGACUUUCCCCAAGCCUUAGGUCACACAGUUCUCCCAGCUUGGAGUGCCCCCUCUCAUGUAUACAUAUGAAAAACUUCACUCAUCCUUCAAAGUCAAGUUCACAUGCUACCUCUUCCAUGAGGUGAUCCUUGGUUCUCCAUAUGGGAAGAUAACCCUCCACUUUCUGAAUUGCUGCUGCAUAUUCUCUAAAUCCCUGUCAUCUUUC